AUCUAGCCUUAUCGCCCAACCUGGAAAUUGACAGUGCAGGAGAAACCGACACCAGUGAGCAGCAUCUGUGCAGCACAUCUCCUCCUCUCUCUCGGCUUACAGGUGCAGAAGUUCAAGUUACAGCGUGGAAGUGGCAAAUAAAUACACAGCAUUAGUGUCUGACGUGCUCGCUGAGCAACCGGGGAUGUUAAUAACUGGCAAGUAUGAAUUCAGAAUGUCAAAGCUCAUUUUCUCAUCAGCCUCAGAUGCUGUUAAAGCACUGCAAGCUUGACUUCUCUUCUCGGACACGUUGGUUUUACAAUGGCGCAGGGUCAGCGUCCAGCUUACACCAGUGUAAGAAUCUGGAUCCACCCAAUUGAGAUGAUACUUGACCCGGAUGGUUGGAUUUCUGCUGUCAGUACCAAAUCCACAGGUCUGUUGGCCCUGUGUCUGGCAUGUGGCCAGCCUGAAGCCCAUGGUUUUGUCCGUGUGAUUCCAGUGCCUGGUUGGCAUUGUGAAUUGUAACAAAAGCCUAUGUGAAAUUAUCUAAACGUAAUCAAGCUAUGAACUUCAUGAGUUACUUCUGUGUGUAUUUAACUUGUAAGAUGGUUGAAACUGAUAAAAAAAUUCAGGUCAAAGAAAAUUAUUAUUUCUGUGGAGUUGUGAUGAAGGUAAUGCUUGCUGUUGUAACCUGGAGUGCAUUACAGGCCCAUCUCCAAUGGUAUGGGCCUCACCUGCACCAGUCUGGGGUGCAAACGCACAGAAAUUACCUCUUAUGCCUACAGGUGGGUGGGAAAUCAUCAGCACCGCUCCAAACAUUGCCCCUUAGCUCACCUUUGAAAGGAAUCUAUGAUCACGGGUAUGAUAUGCUUCUCUCAUUUCUUCAGCCCUGUUCUUUAAGCUUCUCUUCUGAAUCCUCUCUUCUAAGGAAUUAGGAGAUAGACCGAGCAAACACCCCCAGGUGAUGCUUCCUUGCAUGGUGGGGCACCGACAGCUAAAGUUCAGUCAGCGGUGCACUGUGUUGUGGCUCUCUGCAUGGUUAACUGCCACCUGGUGCCACUGAUCUUGUCCCAGUGUUUGAAUGGCUUCUGUGAUUUUCCUUUCUAGUACACAGUAUAUUUAUUUCUCAGAUAACUCAAAGUGUCGUUCCCUUUUAAGAACCACCAAUAAAUGCAGUUGAGC
ensembl:lncRNA